rnacentral:misc_RNA from 1 species
GAAAUGCGAUAAGUAAUGUGAAUUGCAGAAUUCAGUGAAUCAUCGAAUCUUUGAACGCACAUUGCGCUCGCCAGUAUUCUGGCGAGCAUGCCUGUUCGAGCGUCAUUUCAACCAUCAAGCUCUGCUUGCGUUGGGGAUCCGCGGCUGCCCGCGGUCCCUCAAAAACAGUGGCGGGCUCGCUAGUCACACCGAGCGUAGUAACUCUACAUCGCUAUGGCCGUGCGGCGGGUUCUUGCCGUAAAACCCCCAAUUUCUAAGGUUGACCUCGGAUCAGGUAGGAAUACCCGCUGAACUUAAGC